rnacentral:rRNA from 1 species
UACGUAGGGUGCAAGCGUUAAUCGGAAUUACUGGGCGUAAAGCGUACGCAGGCGGCUUUGCAAGACAGGUGUGAAAUCCCCGGGCCUAACCUGGGAACUGCAUUUGUGACUGCAUGGCUAGAGUUUGUCAGAGGGGGGUGGAAUUCCACGUGUAGCAGUGAAAUGCAUAGAUAUGUGGAGGAACACCGAUGGCGAAGGCAGCCCCCUGGGAUGUGACUGACGCUCAUGUACGAAAGCGUGGGGAGCAAACAGG